AAUGGACUUGAGUUUUCUCUUCCAGACUUCUACUCAAAAAAGGGUAUUAUUCACCAAAAAAGUUGCGUUGAAACACCACAACAAAAUGGUUUGGUAGAAAGAAAACAUCAGCACAUUUUGAAGAUAGCACGAGCCCUUAGGUUUCAAUCUGGAGUUCCUAUGCAAUUUUGGAAUGAAUGUGUAAUGACUGCUGUACAUUUAAUAAAUAGGACUCCUACACCCCUGCUGUAUAACAGAACUCCAUAUGAAAUUUUGUUUGUACAUAAGCCUUCUUACUCUCACUUACGUGUUUUUGGUUGCUUGGCAUUUGCAUCCACUCUAGCACAUGGAAGAAGAAAAUUUGACCCUAGAAGCAGAAAGUCAGUUUUUCUAGGAUAUCCCUUUGGAGUAAAAGGUUAUAAACUCCUUGAACUGGCCACCAAUACCAUUUUCCUUUCUCGUAAUGUCAUCUUCCAUGAAAAAUAUUUUCCUUUCCAAGUUUCUACUACCUCUUCUCACACAACAGAUUGUUCUUCAACUCAUGUUGCUCUUCGAAAGUCCACCAGAACUCGUACAGUUCCCAAGUACUUGCAAGAUUUCCAUUGUCAACAGGCUUCUUCAAUUUCACCCAUACAGGUCAACUCAACUCACCAUUCUCCAUCGUCGCCUAAGAUGAGCUCUUCUACUUCAGGUAAACCUUCAUCUCUUACUCAUUCUUUGUCUUAUCAAAGAUUAUCACCCACAUUUCAUGCUUUCACCACUUCAAUCUCUAGUCACACUGAACCAAUUACCUAUGAUGAGGCAAUUAAGGACCCUAACUGGUUUGAUGCAAUGGAAACUGAACUCUCUGCCCUUGAACAGAAUCACACUUGGACCCUCACCACUCUUCCUCCUAAUAAGCGUGCCUUAGGGUGUAAGUGGGUUCACAAGUUGAAAUAUAAUUCUGAUGGUACAUUAGAACGUCACAAGGCACGCCUAGUUGCUAAGGGCUACACGCAACAAGAG
rnacentral:lncRNA from 1 species